rnacentral:rRNA from 1 species
CAAUAGCGUAUAUUAAAGUUGUUGCAGUUAAAAAGCUCGUAGUUGGAUUUGUGGCGUACGGUGUGUUCCGGGCACUUGUUGUCUGUGUAACCUGCUGUUGCCAUCCUUGGGUGGAACCUGUGUGGCAUUAGGUUGUCGUGCAGGGGAUGCCCAUCAUUUACUGUGAAAAAAUUAGAGUGUUCAAAGCAGGCUUAUGCCGUUGAAUAUAUUAGCAUGGAAUAAUGAGAUAGGACUUUUUUGCUAUUUUGUUGGUUUGCGCAAAGAGGUAAUGAUUAAUAGGGACAGUUGGGGGUAUUCGUAUUCCAUUGUCAGAGGUGAAAUUCUUGGAUUUUUGGAAGACGAACUACUGCGAAAGCAUUUACCAAGGAUGUUUUCAUUAA